AACCGGAUUAGAUACCCUGGUAGUCCACGCCCUAAACGAUGUCUACUAGUUGUCGGGUCUUAAUUGACUUGGUAACGCAGCUAACGCGUGAAGUAGACCGCCUGGGGAGUACGGUCGCAAGAUUAAAACUCAAAGGAAUUGACGGGGACCCGCACAAGCGGUGGAUGAUGUGGAUUAAUUCGAUGCAACGCGAAAAACCUUACCUACCCUUGACAUGUACAGAAUCCCGAAGAGAUUUGGGAGUGUUCGAAAGAAAACUGUAACACAGGUGCUGCAUGGCUGUCGUCAGCUCGUGUCGUGAGAUGUUGGGUUAAGUCCCGCAACGAGCGCAACCCUUGUCAUUAGUUGCUACGAAAGGGCACUCUAAUGAGACUGCCGGUGACAAACCGGAGGAAGGUGGGGAUGACGUCAAGUCCUCAUGGCCCUUAUGGGUAGGGCUUCACACGUCAUACAAUGGUACAUACAGAGGGCCGCCAACCCGCGAGGGGGAGCUAAUCCCAGAAAGUGUAUCGUAGUCCGGAUUGUAGUCUGCAACUCGACUACAUGAAGUUGGAAUCGCUAGUAAUCGCGGAUCAGCAUGUCGCGGUGAAUACGUUCCCGGGUCUUGUACACACCGCCCGCCACACCAUGGGAGCGGGUUUUACCAGAAGUAGGUAGCCUAACCGUAAGGAGGGCGCUUACCACGGUAGGAUUCGUGACUGGGGUGAAGUCGUAACAAGGUAACCGUA
rnacentral:rRNA from 1 species